rnacentral:rRNA from 1 species
CAUAUCAAUAAGCGGAGGAAAAGAAACCAACAGGGAUUGCCCUAGUAACGGCGAGUGAAGCGGCAACAGCUCAAAUUUGAAAUCUGGCCUCUUUGGGGGUCCGAGUUGUAAUUUGCAGAGGGUGCUUUGGCGUUGGCUGUGGUCUAAGUUCCUUGGAACAGGACGUCGCAGAGGGUGAGAAUCCCGUAUGUGGCCGCCAGUCUUCGCCGUGUAAAGCCCCUUCGACGAGUCGAGUUGUUUGGGAAUGCAGCUCUAAAUGGGAGGUAAAUUUCUUCUAAAGCUAAAUAUUGGCCAGAGACCGAUAGCGCACAAGUAGAGUGAUCGAAAGAUGAAAAGCACUUUGGAAAGAGAGUCAAAAAGCACGUGAAAUUGUUGAAAGGGAAGCGCUUGCAGCCAGACUUGCUUGCAGUUGUUCAGCCGGGCUCUUGCCCGGUCUACUCUUCUGCUCGCAGGCCAGCAUCAGUCCGGGCGGUUGGAUAAAGGCCUAUUAAACGUACCUCCCCUCGGGGAGGACUUAUAGGGUAGGUGACAUGCAACCAGCCCGGAUUGAGGUCCGCGCAUCUGCUAGGAUGCUGGCGUAAUGGCUGUAAGCGGCCCGUCUUGAAACACGGACCAAGGAGUCUAACAUCUAUGCGAGUGUUUGGGUGUCAAGCCCGAGCGCGUAAUGAAAGUGAACGGAGGUGGGAACCUUUCGGGGUGCACCAUCGACCGAUCCUGAUGUCUUCGGAUGGAUUUGAGUAAGAGCAUAGCUGUUGGGACCCGAAAGAUGGUGAACUAUGCCUGAAUAGGGUGAAGCCAGAGGAAACUCUGGUGGAGGCUCGCAGCGGUUCUGACGUGCAAAUCGAUCGUCAAAUUUGGGCAUAGGGGCGAAAGACUAAUCGAACAUCUAG